rnacentral:lncRNA from 1 species
GUUUAAAUGGUGCCCUCAGUUCAUCUAAGAAAGAGGAACAGAAAGAAUGAGCUCAUGGGGAUCAAAGAUGUGGCACUCCCAGAAGCAUGUGAGAGCUUCAGGCCUAACUUGUGCAUAACAGAGUUGAAGAGCUGACACGGUGCUUACUAACUCAUCAGAAGCAGAAGCGCCCUGGUGAUUCUAUGCCACACCACCAUUCCCCAGGAAAAUGUUCUCCACUGAGACAAAAUCCUUAAAUUUUUAGAAUGGCCUUAUUAUGGAUUACAGCAAACAUCUCAGCACAUCUUUCUCAGCAAGGAUCUCAAAACAGCAUUGGGAUGGCCUUAUUAAUAGAUCCCUUACGAAAACUCAGAAAAGUUAGAGAGGCACUCAGAAUCUUCCUAAAAUAUGAAAUGUUGAAAUCUGGAUUCUUUUUUUACCAUGACUGCAAAAUGUAAGCCACUACUUGGGCUCACCUUGUUGAAUCAGAUUUCUUCUACUUUGCCAUUUUGAUGAUAUCACUCCCAGGUAUGUUUUUUUCUUUUUUUUUCCUUUUCUUUUUCCUUUCUUUUCUCUUUCUUUUUUUUUUUUUUUUUUUUUUUUGAGACAGAGUUGUGCUCCUGUUGCCCAGGCUGGAGUGCAAUGGCACGAUCUCUGUAGGCUCACUGCAACCUCCACCUCCCCAGUUCAAGCAAUUCUCCUGCCUCAGCCUCCCGAGUAGCUGAGAUCACAGGAGCCUGCCACGACGCCCAGAUAAAUUUUUGUAUUUUUUUAGUAGAGAUGGGGUUUCACCAUGUUGGCCAGGCUGGUCUUGAACUCCUGACCUCCAGUCAUCUGCCCACCUAUGCCUACCAAAGUGCUCACUCCCAGCUCCCCCUUCGUCUUCCACCAUGAUUGUAAGCUUCCUGAGGCCUCACUAGAAGAUGAACAGAUGCCAACACCAUGCUUCCUGUAAAAUCUUCAGAACUGUUUUUUCCACUUCCCCAGAUGGUGUCUGUGGGAUUGGCUCUCACUUUCAAGCUUCACUGACCCUAGAUGAUGGACUAGGAUCUGCUUUGGACAUCUGAGCCCAGGCUAAAGUAGGCAAAGGACAAGAGCUGCCCGCUCUUUCAGAAGCAUCUCUCAGAGAGUGACAUCCCCCUGCACACAGCUGCCAUGUCUGUAUGGCUGACUUGGGAGAAAUGCCAGAAAGGUUGGCAUGAGUGAGCAACUGUGAGGAGACCAUCAGAUGGAAACACCCAAGAGGCACUGAAAUGAUCAGGACUAGCUGAACUGGAAAGGACAAAGGCAGAAGAAAAGUACCCUCAAUGUUUGGGCACCUUGGGUCCAAAUAGAGUUUAUUUAAUAAGGACUUACAGUGAUUUAACUUAAGGUUUUUGCCUUCAUGAUGGGUUUAUCAGGGUAUUAAAUGCAUUUUUAAUUUAGGAUAUUUUUGACUAACAAUGGGUCGAUUGAGAUGUAAACACUUUGUAAGUCAAGGAACAUCUGUAUAUGAAUAAAAUCACAAACUGACCAAGGCCAAAGAGUUCUCCAACACAUUGAUUUCAAGCUCAUGAACAAAGUAUCUCCUUUAAAACAUCCUAAGAUUAUCUAAUCCAAUUUCCUUAUUCUACAAUUAAGACUCCUGAAACCUAGAGGGAAGGUGACUCAACCAGACUCCAAUCCAGCUUGCUUCCAAGAAUGUGAACCAACGAAUCUAUGUAAUCUGCUCUAUCCAUUUCAACAUAAGGAAUGGUGUUACUUGAAUUGUUCACUCUCUAGGACUUUCAUUUGUUUCAUUUCUUUUCCUAUUUAGAAUUAUAGUAUGUGAAGCCUGAAGGCAUUAUAGGGAUAAUCUAGAUCCAAACCUUAUUUUCCAGAGGAAGAAAUGAAUGCACAUAGAGGAAAAGUAGAUUGUCCCAAGGUCAUCUAAUGGCACAGCUCAGAUUGGAAUCUCCAUUUCCUCAUCUCAAACCAGUGCUCUGUCAACUAAAAUAGAAUACUUAAAGAAUGCUGAGGCAUUGAGAGACAAGUAAUUGGAUUCUGAUACACUGUCAAAUAUUAAGAAUGAAUAGCUGUAAGUUCCUUAUUUGACAAAAGCCAAGAUUCUCAUCUUUAUUUUCCACUGAGAAAUAUCAUGCUAGAGACAAUCUUUGCAAACUUUGCUUCUAAGAUGCUAAGUCCUGCGGCAUGUAAUCUUUUCUUUUUUGUGAGUGAGUUGGCCUAAUGCCUAGAAGUUUCAUUACAUUUCCAGAAAGUCUUCUCUGGUAAUUUCAUGAAGCAUAUUACCUGUUUUAUCUUGAAAUGUCUUUACCUUCUAGGAGGUUUACUCAUGAAAGCAAUGCUGAAAAAUACAAUUUGGUUGUUUAAGUGGGAGACUUAGGUUAUUAAAUGUUUAUUUCCUUGGGUAAGAAAAUAUUUUCCUCUCUUUAAGGGAGUGUGGUUGUUAUUAUGAAAAGUUUUAGAAGUUAAAAUUGCUGAUGUACCUGAGGAAAGCCAAAUGUCACCUGUAUAUUUUUGAUCCUCAUUUCUUUGGCUCAUAGUCCAUUCUCUGUAUUUUCUCCAAAUUUUCAUCAGUCUUAGAAAAAUAUAAACUUCAUAAUUCUGGAGUCAUGACAACUUGUACUUAUUUUAAAUGCAAUUUGUGAUAUUACUUAUUAUUCUCUUUAAAGUAUUUUAAACUUCACUAUUUUUAUCAUUUGUAGAUGUAGAUAUUAAAUUUUGUGAAUGAGUUACUAAUUCACAUGGUUUAUCUAUAACUAUCUAUAAAAGUAUACAGUAAAAAUUUCCUUUCUCUACUCCAUUUUUCUUCUAUUCAGUUUUUAUUCUCUCAUCCCUCAAUUGGUGUUCAAUGUUACUGGGCUCUUGUGUAUCUUUAGCUAUUUUUCGUACACUUAAAUUCAAAUAUAUAUUCCCUAAAUUACCCAAUUUCUACAGACAUUAACAUCCUCACAUUCAUAUCUGCACAUUGCUCUUUCCACCUAACAAUAAAUCUUAGUUAUCUUUCUAUGUCAUUUGACAAAAAAACCUCUGUAAUAAUUUGUUAGCUUAAUAUUUUAUUCAAUUCUCCAAUCCUACUAAUGGACACUUGGAUUGAUUCUAAUCUUUUGCUGUUAGAAAUAAUGUUUCAAUAAAUACUCUUGUAAUAUGUCAUUUUGCAAGGAUAUGAGUAAAGUUCCUAGAAGUAUAAUUGAUGGAUCAAAGAAAAAACAUCUGUAAUAUUAAUUUCUGUAAACAACUUGCCCUCCAUGUGGGUUGUAUCAGCAAUAUAUUAAUGUUUUUUCUUCACAGUUUUCCCAACAUAGUGAGUUACCAAAAUUUGUUAUUUUCUUAACAAUCUGACAAACGAAAAUAGUGUCUCCAGCUUAUGCUUCUAGAAAGAAUAUGAUCGUUUACUCUAGGCCAAUGUUCACACUGCAACAAUUAGAAAAAUGCGAUUAAUUAUACUGAGUUUUUUGAGCUAAGAUUAUAGGGGCUUUUCCAUUUUUAUUAGUUCUUGGUUAUUAUAAAACUACUAUAAACAUUCUUAUACAUGUAUUUUGGUGAACAUAUGUCUUCCUUUCUCCUGGAUAUAAACCAAGAAUGAUAUUACUGGGUUAUACUGUUGGUAUGUGUUUAACUUUCUUAGAAAUUGCCAAAUGGUAUUUACAAAAUGGGUGUAUCAUUUUAUAUCCCUACCAAGAAUGUGUAAGAGUAAAAUUAGCUCUACAUUGAGGGGUUGAUAUCUGAGUUCAAACUUAAGUAAUACAGCCAGUCACUGAAAGCCCUGAGGAUAAAAGAGCUCCCAGUAGAGCAACACUAAGCUCAAAGAACCUGUGGCAUUUCUACGGGGAUAUUCCCUGCAACGUUAAAUUUAAUGUAUUCUAAAGUUUCACAUCAUAUGCCCCAUUGGUGGACUGUAAAUUCAAUUCAAGUUUUACCAAGAGAUAAUUUUUGAUGGAAUAUAAGGGACUAGCUUUUUUUUUCUACAAUAAACACUUAAAAAUGUUUUCCAUGUUGUAAAUGCAGCUUAACCAGUAACCAUAAUGAUAGACAUUUAAAUUACUUCUACUAUUUUGUUUUAAUACAUAAUGCUGUGAAAUUAACUUGUAAUAUGAUCUCAAAAGUACAUGAAGGUAUAAAUUGUAUAAAUUCCAGAAGUGUAAUCUCUGAGUUAAAAAAAGAAAACACUUGUAAUUUGAUAGAUAUUUUAAAAAGUGAACUUGUCAAUGUGCUCUCCAAAUUAUAUUAUCAAGAUCUGCUGAAUAAGCUAAAAUAUGGUGAGACUUAGCAUGCUGAUAGAAGAGGCCACACAUUUUUGACCAUUAUUCAAAACCCAACUUCUUAGCAUUUCCUAAUAUUUCAAAAGUAUAUUUGGAAAUCUCAUAGGAGUCUUUAUUUAAAUCAUCAGCAACUCCUUAUCUUAUUUCAUCUUUGGCAGUUUCUUAGAUAAUUAUGACAAUAUUAAUGUAAAAAUACAAAUGAUAAUGUAUGAUAUAUUUCAAUGUAGCAAGAAGAGAGGAUUUUGGAUGUUAUCACUACAAAUAAAUAAUAAGUGUUUGAGGUUAUGAAUAUGCUAAUUAACCUGAUUUGAUCAUUACACAAUAUAUGCAUGUAUGAAAACUUCACAUUGUACCCUUUAAAUAUAUG